UACGUAGGGUCCGAGCGUUGUCCGGAAUUAUUGGGCGUAAAGAGCUCGUAGGCGGUCUGUCGCGUCGGCUGUGAAAUCCCGAGGCUCAACCUCGGGUCUGCAGUCGAUACGGGCAAACUAGAGUAUUGCAGGGGAGACUGGAAUUCCUGGUGUAGCGGUGAAAUGCGCAGAUAUCAGGAGGAACACCGGUGGCGAAGGCGGGUCUCUGGGCAAUAACUGACGCUGGAGGAGCGAAAGCGUGGGGAGCGAACAGG
rnacentral:rRNA from 1 species